GGAGAUGGCCAGGUAAUCGCUGCUUUCGCUUGCGAAAGGGGAGGAAAGUCCGGGCUCCAUAGGGCAGGGUGCCAGAUAACGUCUGGGCGGCGUGAGCCGACGACNAGUGCAGCAGAGAGNANACCGCCUAAGCAUGNUUNNNNGCCGGUAAGGGUGAAAGGGUGCGGUAAGAGCGCACCGCGCAACUGGUAACAGUUUGUGGCACGGUAAACUCCACCCGGAGCAAGACCAAAUAGGCUCCCUAUACGUGCGGCCCGCACGGGGAGCGGGUAGGUUGCUUGAGCCAGUGAGCAAUUGCUGGCCUAGAGGAAUGAUUACCACUCGAAAGAGAACAGAACCCGGCUUACGGCCAUCUCCGACU
rnacentral:RNase_P_RNA from 1 species